rnacentral:misc_RNA from 1 species
AACCUUAUGGACCUGCGGGCGUAUACCUGCGGAGGGAUCAUUAUUGAAUUUAAUGUGGAGUUGGUUGUAGCUGGCUUGACUGAUUUUUUUAAAAAAAGAUUUCAGGCAUGUGCACACCUUCUCUUUCAUCCAUACACCCCUGUGCACUUGUGAGACAGAUUUUGGGGGAAGGGUAACUUCAUUGAGACCCCUCUCCCUGUCUGUCUACUUAAUUCACACAAACUCAAUUUAUUUUAAAAU